UGAUCUUUCACAGGCUUAAAGAGGUGCUUGAAAACCGGACAAAAACUACAUCUCUGAAAAAUGAACCAUCAUCAAAACCCUAGAUGCUGGACAUGUGGGCAUGAUUGUUAUUCUUAUGGACAAAGACAAGCGAAACCUACUCAGGCAUGUAAUGUAAAGUUAUUCUAAGUGACCAAGACAAGUGAUACCUGCUCAGCAUUCUGAACAUUCCUAUAGGCGGAGUUUCUGACAUUCGAUUAUAUAGAUCUCUGUAGAAAAUAAGUUGCGUCUCUUUGCCUUCACAACUUUGCAGAGGAACAUUACCAACUAAAAUGGCUACCAAAUCCUGUAAGAAAUGUGGGUUGAUGAAAAACUACAAUGGAUCAUUACCGUAUAAAUGUAAGUGUGACCCUGAGGAACAGCCCAACCCCUUUCCUCUGGCAUUGUUUCAGUCAAACAACAGCGUCCAGAGGUCCAUGGCCGCACCAAGAAACGGGAUAAUGACACGAUAUCACAACAACAUUGAACAAGGUGUUCAAACAUAUCAACGUGCAGUCGUGAGGAACGGGGUGACUGUUGAAAUUGAAGAGUACAGGUUUUCAAACUAUUAAAGGCAGAUUAAGUCACCACAUCAAUGUAAUAAUUCAUGUAAUGAAAUUCUAAGUAGCCUACUUGUGAGUGUUUAUAAGUUAUAUGCUGUGUAUUCUCAGUGAUUUCUUUUGUCAGUAAAUUGAGUUGGAAAGCCAUAAUUUGUUGUCGACAUGUUGCCAUUAAAACUUAUUUGAACUAACUUUUCAUGAUAUUUUAUUUAAGUUUUUCAUUACUAGGAAUUAGGGAGGAAUUGACCGAUUAAAGGCUGCUUGAAAAUAAGUAAAUUGUGUUUUUAAUGUAAUGAAAAUGUAUUUCUGUGCUGUUCCAUAUCUUAUGAAGUAUAGAACACAUAAUAUUAUGAUGACUGCUGUAUGCUUCAACUAAAUUAGAUGUUGAUUCUGUAUACUUAUGUGCUUUGCUAUACUGUAAUUUAAUAUGGCGUUUCUCACAACUCUGAGUCAUGACAUCAACUUUUAGCUCAUGUAAGGAUUGAUAAGUGAAAUGCUGUGUAUACUGAGUGAUUUCUUUUGACAAUAAACUGGUGUGUUGACAUUGCCA